AGGUACACACCAAGGCUCCUGGUAUGACUCAAGUCAUCUGGAGUGGACCCAGCUGUCCCUUUUGCCUCCCGCUGUUUUCACAGGCUCGAAUAAUGCCACCCCCUGCUCACCUGGCUCUGAGACUUUCUGUUGUAAAUCUGCUGCUGGCCUGAUCCUUGGCCUGGAAAAAAAGAUACUGUGGCAAGAAGUGCUUGAGAAGCUCCGAGUUCCAGAAAGAGCGUGAGGUUGGGGGCCAGGGCACAUGGGGCAGAUCACGAGUCGGCAAACCUGGGCUCUGAGGAUCCUACGCUAACACCCCAAGAAAGCCUUGUAAACUGAAGAUCCUACCAGCCAGAAGGUUCCCGGGAAGCUUGUGACGGAGGGAUAGUAAGGACAGGGAGCCCAGGGCUGGCACUUGCAAUGUGUAAUUGUUUUAUUAAAGUUUAAAAUUUAAUAAAAUGAGAUCCAUGGGGGGAGUUUCCAGCUCCAUGUACAUCAUUCCACUUCCUGCUGACGAAGCAAGUUUCCCACACAGCCAAGCUUCUCAUCCUCUACACGUCAAAAGUCAAAGGCUUGGUGGCAGUUGAUGGCUUGUGGGGCUGGAGAUGGGCUCGAGACUGGCUGGUGGCGUGGCCCGUACUCACUCACUAGGGCUGAGAUGCGGUGAGGCUGGGCCACGGUCAUGUUCUUGAUACUGCUGGAGAAGUCAUUAGACUAGUCAGUGUCAGACUCCAGUCCAGACUGCUGUUCAGGCCACGUCCACCUGCCACCUCUUUCUUACAGCUAAAGGAAAUGGUGGGGCCCUCAACUAAGAUGUGAAUCUCUAGUCCCUCAUAGAUAAACUCACC